AAAGAGAAAGUGUAUGAUGCACGUAAUAAUUUGGUUUUUAAAGUGGGGAGUUAUGUUCUCUCUCUUUA
rnacentral:tRNA from 1 species